GCGUCUCUGUUAAUAUUGUCGUUGUAAAGAUGCACCACAUUUCCUGGUGCAGAAAUUAUCAGUGAUGUUCUGCCUAAAGAUACCAUGUCGCUUCUUCAGAAUGGUUUCUUGUGACGGCAUAGCAAGAUCCUAACAACGUUUAUCGUGAAGCUGAAGUCAUCAGAGUCUCCUCUAGCCGUAAUGGCUGACUGACCACUGGCCUUAAGAAGAAUAACAGCGGGAACACAGAUUUUAGGGGACUGGAUCAACAAUGGUGGCCACCCUGCUUCAUUUUUCCUGGGCUUUUAUCAUCUUGUGUUGUCUAGAGACAAACAUCGUUUACUCCGGGAUUCGUCUACCUCAAGACCCAGUAUCUAUGGUCCCAGGUCAGAAUUUAACUCUGGAAGUGAACUUUGAACCUGACAGCAGGGUUUCUAGGCACAGCAUUUCUUGGCUGUUGUACAGAGAGAAGAGCCAAUCCCUGAAAAUUGUGCAAUAUAUAUGGAUUCAAGAUUUGAUUCAUGUGUACUCAUCUUUUGUCAGCCGCGUUAAUUUCAGCAGAGACACUGGAUCUCUGACACUUUUCAACUUCAGCGAAACAGAUGUAGGGACAUAUGGAGCCAUAGUUACCUUUGAGGAUGGGACCGAAAGUGGAGCUAAUGCUACAGUUGGAAUUGACAUGACAUCAUGGAGAACUACAGUAAUGGAUAAGGACAUGAAAACCCUGGUGUCUAACUACAAACCAGAAGGUACGUAAAUAAUUUAGAAGGC